rnacentral:rRNA from 1 species
AGUGAACGCUGGCGGUAGGCCUAACUCAUGCAAGUCGAACGGCAGCACAGUAAGAGCUUGCUCUUACGGGUGGCGAGUGGCGGACGGGUGAGGAAUACAUCGGAAUCUACUUUUUCGUGGGGGAUAACGUAGGGAAACUUACGCUAAUACCGCAUACGACCCACGGGUGAAAGCAGGGGAUCUUCGGACCUUGCGCGAUUGAAUGAGCCGAUGUCGGAUUAGCUAGUUGGCGGGGUAAAGGCCCACCAAGGCGACGAUCCGUAGCUGGUCUGAGAGGAUGAUCAGCCACACUGGAACUGAGACACGGUCCAGACUCCUACGGGAGGCAGCAGUGGGGAAUAUUGGACAAUGGGCGCAAGCCUGAUCCAGCCAUACCGCGUGGGUGAAGAAGGCCUUCGGGUUGUAAAGCCCUUUUGUUGGGAAAGAAAAGCAGCAGGUUAAUACCCCGCUGUUCUGACGGUACCCAAAGAAUAAGCACCGGCUAACUUCGUG